UGUCCGUUUAUAAAUUUUGAAAUUAUUAUGAAACUAAGGUUUCAACUCCCUCAGGCAAAGUUGGCUUUAGAUGAAUUUGGCUAUUUAUUUUAGGUAUUUUUAACAUAUAGCUCUUCAACAAUUUUCGGUACUUAUACAUCUUCGGAUUUCAAAUGUUUGGCUUUGAGCGUUUCUGAUGAAGGUAAAUCCAGAAAAGCGCUU
rnacentral:lncRNA from 1 species